GAGCCGGAACGGGCCCCCUGAGUCCGCGUCUGCGCAGAGAAUCGUAUCCUCGCGGGAGCGAACCCCGGGGCGCCACACGCCUCUACCCCCGCUAGGCAAGGCGGGGUCCGUGCCCGGGCCAGUGUGGUGGAGCGGCGUGAGGCUUGACGAGGACGCGCGGUGUCGUUGGCGGGAGGCAGCACCAAUCCCGAGUUCACAAAGGCCACUGCUGUGGACUAGACCUUCAAUACUAACUCAGUGAGAAGAUCCACCUGGAACAAACUGGUCUUCAACCACUACCUUCCUCAAAGAACAAAAUAUAAACGCAUCAAGUUUUGCCUCCACUGGCUCUUCAGUGGAAAAUUCUAUCACCAGCUGUUUUUCUACAUAUUAAAAUGGAAUAAUCUGAGACUAAAACCAGUCAAGCAACUCCUCCAGUUUUAAGCAUGCAUUACUCUCCUGUCACAACCAUGCCACAGAAACUGAUGAAAUACUGUGGUAUUAGACUGUACCUCAAAUGAGCAAUUUUCUAGUACAAUAAAGGUGUAAGUACACCAGGUUCAGUUUAAGUACAAUUAUGUUUCAUUAUUCAAUAAGGGUUUUAUUAUUUGUAUUGUAGUGCCUACGGAUGCUAAUCGAGGUCCAGAGCUCUACUGCACCAGAUGCUAUGCAGACUGAGUAAGAAGACAGUGUCUACCCCAAAUAGCUCAUGUCAUGACAAAGACUCCAAAAAAAGGCAGAUGAAAAGCAAAUGGAGGGGGGGCAGGAAGAGGGAGAAAGAAAACGACACAACAAGAAAGGGUAACAGGCAAACCCCGUUGCUGAAAAUAGCAUUCAGGUCCUGAGGAUGUCCUGGUAAAAGACAGACAACGUGGAGAUGUCUUGGGGAAGACCUCUUGGAUGGAGAAGAAAAAGCUGCUGGUCAUAUCACAGCCCUUGGAGGUGGUGGAGGAAGGCAUGCACUGGCACACGCCAUGCCAGACUAUGAGCAUUGUAUGAGUCUCUGCAGGCCUGAAGGUGGCUGUGAAUCUUUAUCGUUUACCGAGUUUGUGUUACUGCAGUUUUUUCACUUGUUUUUUCCAUAUUGGCUCUUUCUAUAAAUGAUCUUGAUAACAGGUGUUCAGUUCCUUAUAUCAUGACUUUCAUACAAAUGAUACUAAGCAUUUUACUUUCCAGUUCCCCUGGUUCCUCCUCACUAUUUUUUCUGUUUAUAUAGUAGUUUAAGGUUUUAUUCCAGACAGUCUGCAUCAAGCUGUUUUUGUUCUAGUGACCCCUUUAGUGAUACAGUCUGAGUAUAAUGUUUCAGGGUACUUUAAUAGCAAUUUCCUUCUCUAUGCCUUCCUUGUCUUGAGAUCCUCAAGAGCAGCCAGGAUGCUGAUUUCUCACCAUGAGUCCUUGUUAUGGAGAGUGCUGAUAAUUUAUUCAUUGCUGAAUUUUGUUGUUAACCAUCUUUCGCAAUGGGUGAGAGAUGGGCAAUUUAGAUUAGGGAAUCAUUUAAAAACAAAGGGAAAACAAAUCUCCAUGAAGCACUGCAGAAAGCACCAGUGGACAUCUUGCUUUCACUGCAAAGUCAACUCAAUUAUGACUCAAGUUUUGCCCUAAUUUGAAUCCCACACACACAGCUCAACUGUGGUGCUGCUUUUAACUUAAGUUGGCUGGCCCAUCAGCAAGCAGAGGCUAAAGCUAGAAUUGCCAGCUGCUAACAUGAGCAUUCUGCAUCGUGGAUACAAGCUAGCUCCACUUGACUGACUAGUUCAUUAUUUGUAUUGCUAUAGUGCCUAGAAGCUCUAGCGAUAGACCAGGACCUCCCUGUGCUAGGCAAUAUACAAACAUUACAAAAAGAGACAGGCCCUGCCCCAAAGAACUUACAACCUCCAAUACCUUUGCAAAAUUCCUCUCAUAUGCCCAGAACACACAGACAAGUUCUCCCACAAUUCACUGGGAAAGAAUUAAUAGUUUUAGUGCCAGACAUAAGUGAGUGCAGCACCAGUGUGGACGCAGCAUCUUGGUGCUAUUUAGCAGUGUGGGCACUCUCACUCAAGCUAGGCUCGCUCAAGAAAAACAAGCAUAGAACAGUUGAGCUAAUUCAGUAGUGAAGACAUACCUUGAAUAAGUCCCCUCCCAUCCCCACUGAACACCAAGGGGGUGUGAGGUAGCUAAGAACAAGGGAUCCCACCACCACCUCUUCAACAUCUUCUUUCCGCAGACGAGGAAGGGGCAGUUGAACCACACCAUUGCUUUGACCUCCUCCAAGAUACAUCUCACUUUUUUGACAGCACCCAGACUUCCUUCAGCAGCCUCAGCCCCAACCCUAACCUGAUUGAAGGAUGGCUACUAACCCCAGCCCUGUGAGAUUAUGUCAUGCCACAAGCUACAUGGUCUCUGCACCAAUGGAACGCCAUAAGGCCUCAGUGGGAAAAUGGAGGGAGUUCUAUUUUUCCUACCAAAGAACCAUGCAACAAGAGAACAUGUACAAGAUGUACAUGAAACAUGUACAAGAGACUGGAAAAAUGGCACACUGGUAUCGCCUGAGUUUCAUCCAAUAUGGCCUCAGAAAAUGUACAGUAUUGACAUGUGCCAUAAUAUGUUCAAAACUAUCAAGGAGGAGGUUUCUGGAUAGUAGUAGCUCAUACCAGUUACAACCUGGUACCUAUGCGAGUAUUACUGUGCCAACUACAGGCACCUUUUGGAAACAGUGGAAGCAAGACAACAGAGCUGCCAAAACUCAACACGCUAUUUUGAACAGAGAAACAAGAACACUGUGGGGCUGAAUCCAGCUGACCCACUACAUCUUUUCACAGGCAAGAAGCCAGUCAACCCACUAUGCUAACGUUUUCACUUGACCCAGGUGACUUAACAGAUAGCAACGGCAAUUAGCUCAGUCCAGCUAUUAAAGAUAUUAAAGCAUCAAAUGCAAUGCUCCCCAUUUAUUAAAGUGGCUUUGAAAAUUAAAUUGUUUCAGAUGAAAUUGACUACAGUGGAACAUAUAUAUCAGUGCACCAAAUCCUCCUCUGCAACCCAGAUUGUGAUGUGCUAAUUCAAACGCUAAAAAGACUACCUUAUUAUUCCUGUUAUUCUGCAGCCCCUCCAUAACCAUGCAGAGACACAGGUAAAACCUGAGAGAGACAAGGCAGGUGACAGGUAAAACCUCAUCAGCUGCUCUUGCAUUCAAAGUAUAAUUUCAAACAGUGGUUCUUAUCCUUUACUGCAGCCUGCACCCCCCUUUUGGUUCUCAGAAUACGUUCUCGCACCCCUUAAACCUAGAUAUAUUUUGCUUGUAUAUUACAG